ACCGUUGUUAUUCAACUACAAGAACCUUA
rnacentral:tRNA from 1 species